GACGAACGCUGGCGGCGUGCUUAACACAUGCAAGUCGAACGGAAAGGCCCUGCUUUUGCGGGGUGCUCGAGUGGCGAACGGGUGAGUAACACGUGAGUAACCUGCCCUUGACUUUGGGAUAACUUCAGGAAACUGGGGCUAAUACCGGAUAGGAGCUCCUGCUGCAUGGUGGGGGUUGGAAAGUUUCGGCGGUUGGGGAUGGACUCGCGGCUUAUCAGCUUGUUGGUGGGGUAGUGGCUUACCAAGGCUUUGACGGGUAGCCGGCCUGAGAGGGUGACCGGCCACAUUGGGACUGAGAUACGGCCCAGACUCCUACGGGAGGCAGCAGUGGGGAAUAUUGCACAAUGGGCGGAAGCCUGAUGCAGCAACGCCGCGUGCGGGAUGACGGCCUUCGGGUUGUAAACCGCUUUCGCCUGUGACGAAGCGUGAGUGACGGUAAUGGGUAAAGAAGCACCGGCUAACUACGUGCCAGCAGCCGCGGUGAUACGUAGGGUGCGAGCGUUGUCCGGAUUUAUUGGGCGUAAAGGGCUCGUAGGUGGUUGAUCGCGUCGGAAGUGUAAUCUUGGGGCUUAACCCUGAGCGUGCUUUCGAUACGGGUUGACUUGAGGAAGGUAGGGGAGAAUGGAAUUCCUGGUGGAGCGGUGGAAUGCGCAGAUAUCAGGAGGAACACCAGUGGCGAAGGCGGUUCUCUGGGCCUUUCCUGACGCUGAGGAGCGAAAGCGUGGGGAGCGAACAGGCUUAGAUACCCUGGUAGUCCACGCUGUAAACGGUGGGUACUAGGUGUGGGGUCCAUUCCACGGGUUCCGUGCCGUAGCUAACGCUUUAAGUACCCCGCCUGGGGAGUACGGCCACAAGGCUAAAACUCAAAGGAAUUGACGGGGCCCCGCACAAGCGGCGGAGCAUGCGGAUUAAUUCGAUGCAACGCGUAGAACCUUACCUGGGUUUGACAUGGAUCGGGAGUGCUCAGAGAUGGGUGUGCCUCUUUUGGGGUCGGUUCACAGGUGGUGCAUGGCUGUCGUCAGCUCGUGUCGUGAGAUGUUGGGUUAAGUCCCGCAACGAGCGCAACCCUUGUUCACUGUUGCCAGCACGUUAUGGUGGGGACUCAGUGGAGACCGCCGGGGCCAACUCGGAGGAAGGUGGGGAUGACGUCAAGUCAUCAUGCCCCUUAUGUCCAGGGCUUCACGCAUGCUACAAUGGCUGGUACAGAGAGUGGCGAGCCUGUGAGGGUGAGCGAAUCUCGGAAAGCCGGUCUCAGUUCGGAUUGGGGUCUGCAACUCGACCUCAUGAAGUCGGAGUCGCUAGUAAUCGCAGAUCAGCAACGCUGCGGUGAAUACGUUCCCGGG
rnacentral:rRNA from 1 species